rnacentral:lncRNA from 1 species
CAUUCCAAUUUUCAUACAAUUCAUGUCAUUUAAAACAAAACUAAACGAAAAGAUAAAUAAAGAGGAACCUAUUUGUUAGUGUCGGUCAUGCUUUUAGUCGCGGUAUUCGUCCCACUUUUAGUCGGACUUUUAGUCGCUUUUUUGCCAACAUUUUCGACAUUUGAAUCUCUUGUAGUAGGCGUGAUUAUGUUGUCGUGUUCUUGGCUCGACUGACCCUAAUGUAAAAAAAAAUUGAAAUUACAAAGAAAAUAUGAAUAUUGAUUUAUAUAUAAAUGCUAAUUACCUCAAUCGUCUCUCGACGUAAGUCUUCCCUUAGUUCCUUUAGUAUAUCCGGCAUCUGUUUUCUAACGGCCUCUUGAACUGCCCGAUCAAAGUCUUCUAUACUUUUUUGUUGUUGAAUUUCUAUAUAAUUCGUCGUUGUGUUCUGUGAAGUCGCCAUAUUAUCAGGAAUUUUAAACCAAUACAAUUAGUUUUUAAACCAAUACAAUUUUAAAGCUAAGGAUUUUCCCAUGGAAUUAAUAAAAUAUCCAAUAAAACAACAUGGGAAUUAAUAUAAGUAUAUCUAUUAUAAGAUUUCCAAAUAACAGAGAAAUCUUUGAGGAAAAUAUGGACAUGUGCUAUUUGAGAAAUCUUCCAAAUAACUGAAUACGUAUUGUAUUGGGAAAUUAUUGUAUUUUUUACAAGAUUAAUACUGAAUACGUACUGAUCAUAAAAAUAUAUUGAUCUACAGACCAAAAUCCGUGGCUAAAUCCUUGAAACAGAGUGGAAAGUGAAGGGACACGGCCAAAAUCCGUGGCUAAACCUUAACUGGCUGUGGCUAUAUCCUUGAAACAGAGUGGAAAGUGAAGGGCCACGGCCAAAAUCCGUGGCUAAAUGCCAAAAGGCCGUGGCUAAUUUCUAAAAUAUUUAUAGGAAAUAUUUACAUUUUAGAAGACGCCUAUUGAAGGUCUUACACAUUCGUAUAACCUGAAAAAAGCAUUCAAACAUAUAUUCAUACACAUUUUAUUCAUACACAUUCCAUUCAUACACAUUCCAUUCAUACACAUUCCAUUCAUACACAUUCCAUUCAUACACAAAUAUCCAUAAAAAUUAUGCAAAACAAUGAACCAAUCAACCAAAAAAUUCCAAAACAUUCCAUUCAAUUCUAUACCAUUCCAAAAGAUAAAAGAAAAGGAAUGAAUUCUAAACCAUUCUAAACCAUUCUAUACAAUUCCAAAACAUACCAUCACUUCCAUACCAUUCCAAUUUUCAUACAAUUCAUGUCAUUUAAAACAAAACUAAACGAAAAGAUAAAUAAAGAGGAACCUAUUUGUUAGUGUCGGUCAUGCUUUUAGUCGCGCUAUUCGUCCCACUUUUAGUCGCUUUUAGUCGCUUUUUUGCCAACAUUUUCGACAUUUGAAUCUCUUGUAGUAGGC